UAAAGUAAGACUCCACUUGAUCUACAAACUAGAAUAUGGCAUUUCAAUAUUUUGAAAUUAACAUCACAUAUAUUUUAGGACCGAAAGAAAAUUGAAGCGUAAGGGCUAUCCAAUGAGCAAGUGCUUGAUACACACUUCCCAAUGGCAGAAGCGGCGGCUCUGCCCAGGAUUUGUGCAAGGCGUUUUCUACCUUCUGAACCUAAGGGCAUAGGUGCGACGGCUGGUAGAGCUGGUUCUGCUGCUGUGGCUUCGUUGGAUACCAGGAAAGUGUAACUUCCUGUUUCAUUCAAGGAUGCUGUGCUGCCCAGUAUAGUGAAAAAGAGCUCUUCUUCCCUUGUUCCUCACCUUUGUCGGGGUCUAUUUGAGGGCUGUGGAUGACUGCUGCAACGAAUCGCCCAAGACUCAAACCAUCCAAGAUAGGUAGACAAACAUUAAAGGUGUGGCACAAUAGGAAAAUGAACUUCAUAGUGGAAAGAAAAAAGCAGGGCAGCGUGGAGAUUGAAGACAAGCAUUCCUGCAUAUCUAAUUAAAUGUGAAAAUCCUCAAAGAGCAAAAAGACCAAAAGUUAGUUUAUGGUUUGACUCAUUCCUUGAAUUUAUUUGUUCUGAUAUUUCUGAUCAGAAUACAUAUAUACUGCAAAAAUUUAUUAUACUUACAUGAUGCAAAUUAGAUUUUUGUCCAUACCAAUGUAGGAUUAUUGUGUUUCCACCUAAAUCUCCAGAAAAUCCACAAUGCAGAGGCUGCAAAAUAAUCAGUUUUGGUUUUUUCGUGAGCAUACAUUAGCAAUUUUUUGGAUGAAAAGAGACAUUUAAAUACCACCAAGAUCACUGCGCAAAGACUUAUCAUUUAAAAAAAAAGUUCAAUUCCUCCUCUAAAGUACAGAAAGUUUCAACUUCCUCGAGAAAGUAGAAUGUUGGAACAAUCAUAGCAACACCUGAUGGAUGUCUCCUACAAAGUGUGACAGAAAGAGUAAUGCUUCAGUCAAAUUAUCUGCAAAAUUCAGGGAAAUCUUUAAGUGAGCAAAUUAGAUGUCUCUGAAAAAAUGUUCUUUUGAUCAAAAGCUACCAAUUAAAUAGAUAAUAAAAAGUCACAUGGUGGACCGGCUAAACUAGGAUGAUUCCUUAAGAAUGAACUUACAUGUUGCAUCAGACGAUUUGCCAUAUGUUGCAAGCUGGGCAGUGUAAUUAUUGAUAGCCCCUGCAAGGCACAUGCCUUCUUCUCCUUGUGUGUUGUGGCAAUCCCCUGUUUUGUAUACAGACAAAGAUAAUAGUGGAUAUCAAUGUCUAACGCUUGGAUGCAAAUUUAUGUUUUAUACAUGGAUUGGAAAUAUACAUAUUCAUCA